rnacentral:rRNA from 1 species
UCCCUUAUACAUUGCCCUAGCCAAGUGAUGAUAGAAAGAAAAUACAUUAUUUUCGCUCUUGGAAGAUUUAUAUUUCGGGUAGUAGUAGUUAAGCUAACCGCGUUAACUAGCUUAAUACGCGUAGUCGAGACUGGAAGGUUGAUCGACCACAGUGGGACUGAAGAAAUCCCACGACGAUAGUUACAGCAGUGGGGAAUAUUGGUCAAUAGCCUAACGGCUGAACCAGCAACUUGAAGGAAUGUAUAGCGAAAGCUAGUUGUGCUUUAUUUAGUGUAAGCUAAAUUGGUAUAAUAUUGACUAUGUCGAAUAAAGUUCUAGGUAGAAUUAUGAUGAUGACAUUGUCUAUCUAUGUGUCUUGACCAAAUUACGUGCCAGCAGUCGCGGUAAUACGUAAAAGACUAGUGUUACUCAUCUUGAAUAGGUUUAAAGGGUACCUAGACGGCCAAUCAAGCCCCUAAAAGGGUACUAAUGGGCUAGAGUUUAAUAUAAGUAGGCUUUAAAGUACUGAGAAUGUUGAGAGAUGAAAUUCUGUGAUACUAUAUACGGCACUGGUAAAGGCGAAAGCAUCUUAUUAUGUAAAAACUGACGUUGAGGGACGAAGGCUGUGUGUAGCAAAAAGGAUUAGAUACCCAAGUAGUCUCAGCAGAAAAUGAUGAAUGUCAUGGUGUAGAGUAAUUUUGCACUAUAAAUGAAAGUGUAAGCAUUCCACCUUAAGAGUAAUUUGGCAACAUUGGAACUGAAAUCAUUAGACCGUUUCUGAAACAAGUAGUGAAGUAUGUUGUUUAAUUUGAUGGUCCGCAAAAAACCUUACCACUUUUAAUUUGAAUAUAAAAAUAUUUAUACAAGCGCUGCACGGUUGUCUUCAGUUAAUGUCGUGAGAUUCUGGUUAGUUCCAUUAAAUUAACGUAAACCCAUACUUUAUUUUAUUAUAGAGUAGUUCACCGCUAGAUUGGAUGUGAUAAGAGGACUAGACAUCUCGCUG